rnacentral:rRNA from 1 species
ACUCCUACGGGAGGCAGCAGUAGGGAAUCCUCCACAAUGGGCGCAAGCCUGAUGGAGCAACACCGCGUGAGUGAAGAAGGGUUUCGGCUCGUAAAGCUCUGUUGUUAAAGAAGAACACGUAUGAGAGUAACUGUUCAUACGUUGACGGUAUUUAACCAGAAAGUCACGGCUAACUACGUGCCAGCAGCCGCGGUAAUACGUAGGUGGCAAGCGUUAUCCGGAUUUAUUGGGCGUAAAGAGAGUGCAGGCGGUUUUCUAAGUCUGAUGUGAAAGCCUUCGGCUUAACCGGAGAAGUGCAUCGGAAACUGGAUAACUUGAGUGCAGAAGAGGUAGUGGAACUCCAUGUGUAGCGGUGGAAUGCGUAGAUAUAUGGAAGAACACCAGUGGCGAAGGCGGCUACCUGGUCUGCAACUGACGCUGAGACUCGAAAGCAUGGGUAGCGAACAGGAUUAGAUACCCCUGGUAGGAUAGCG